rnacentral:rRNA from 1 species
AUUGAACGCUGGCGGCAGGCUUAACACAUGCAAGUCGAGCGGGGAAAAGUAGCUUGCUACUGGACCUAGCGGCGGACGGGUGAGUAAUGCUUAGGAAUCUGCCUAAUAGUGGGGGACAACAUCUCGAAAGGGAUGCUAAUACCGCAUACGUCCUACGGGAGAAAGCAGGGGACCUUCGGGCCUUGCGCUAAUAGAUGAGUCUAAGUCGGAUUAGCUAGUUGGUGGGGUAAAGGCCUACCAAGGCGACGAUCUGUAGCGGGUCUGAGAGGAUGAUCCGCCACACUGGGACUGAGACACGGCCCAGACUCCUACGGGAGGCAGCAGUGGGGAAUAUUGGACAAUGGGGGGAACCCUGAUCCAGCCAUGCCGCGUGUGUGAAGAAGGCCUUUUGGUUGUAAAGCACUUUAAGCGAGGAGGAGGCUACCGAGAUUAAUACUCUUGGAUAGUGGACGUUACUCGCAGAAUAAGCACCGGCUAACUCUGUGCCAGCCGCCGCCGUAAAAC